GCCUAGUUUGGAAUUUUGUGUCU
rnacentral:siRNA from 1 species